rnacentral:rRNA from 1 species
AUACGUAGGUGGCAAGCGUUGUCCGGAUUUAUUGGGCGUAAAGCGAGCGCAGGCGGUUUCUUAAGUCUGAUGUGAAAGCCCCCCGGCUUAACCGGGGAGGGUCAUUGGAAACUGAGGAACUUGAGUGCAGAAGAGGAGAGUGGAAUUCCAUGUGUAGCGGUGAAAUGCGUAGAUAUAUGGAGGAACACCAGUGGCGAAGGCGACUCUCUGGUCUGUAACUGACGCUGAGGCACGAAAGCGUGGGGAGC